rnacentral:rRNA from 1 species
GUGUCAGCCGCCGCGGUAAUACGGGGGGAGCCAGCGUUGUCCGGAAUCACUGGGCGUAAAGGGCGUGUAGGCGGGCAUGCCAGUCAGGUGUAAAAGUCUACGGCUUAACCGUAGUUGGUCAUCUGAUACCGCAUGUCUUGAGUUCGAGAGAGGGUGGUGGAAUUCCUGGUGUAGCGGUGAAAUGCGUAGAUAUCAGGAAGAACGCCAGAGGCGAAGGCGGCUCCCUAGCCCGGUACUGACGCUGAGGCACGAAAGCGUGGGGAGCGAACGGGAUUAGAUACCCCGGUAGUCCACGCCCUAAACGAUGGAUGCUAGGUGUUGGAUCCGAGAGGAUUCAGCGCCGAAGCUAACGCGUUAAGCAUCCCGCCUGGGGACUACGGCCGCAAGGCUGAAACUUAAAGGAAUUGGCGGGG